GACGAACGCUGGCGGCGUGCUUAACACAUGCAAGUCGAACGGAAAGGCCCUGCUUUUGUGGGGUGCUCGAGUGGCGAACGGGUGAGUAACACGUGAGUAACCUGCCCUUGACUUUGGGAUAACUUCAGGAAACUGGGGCUAAUACCGGAUAGGAGCUCCUGCUGCAUGGUGGGGGUUGGAAAGUUUCGGUGGUUGGGGAUGGACUCGCGGCUUAUCAGCUUGUUGGUGGGGUAGUGGCUUACCAAGGCUUUGACGGGUAGCCGGCCUGAGAGGGUGACCGGCCACAUUGGGACUGAGAUACGGCCCAGUCUCCUACGGGAGGCAGCAGUGGGGAAUAUUGCACAGUGGGCGGAAGCCUGAUGCAGCAACGCCGCGUGCGGGAUGACGGCCUUCGGGUUGUAAACCGCUUUCGCCUGUGACGAGGCGUGAGUGACGGUAAUGGGUAAAGAAGCACCGGCUAACUACGUG
rnacentral:rRNA from 1 species